rnacentral:rRNA from 1 species
AAGUCGAACGAUGACGUCACUGCUUGCGGUGAUUGAUUAGUGGCGAACGGGUGAGUAACACGUGAGGAACUUGCCCAUGAGCGGGGGACAACAUUCGGAAACGGAUGCUAAUACCCCAUAGGUGGAUUGGUCGCAUGACUAAUUCAUUAAAGGUGGCUCUGCUGCCACUCAUGGAUAGCCUCGCGGCGUAUUAGCUAGUUGGUAAGGUAAUGGCUUACCAAGGCAGUGAUACGUAGCCGACUUGAGAGGGUGAUCGGCCACACUGGGACUGAGACACGGCCCAGACUCCUACGGGAGGCAGCAGUAGGGAAUCUUCCACAAUGGGUGCAAACCUGAUGGAGCAAUGCCGCGUGAGUGAAGAAGGUCUUCGGAUCGUAAAGCUCUGUUGUUAGAGAAGAACACGUGCUAGGUAACUACUAGCGCCUUGACGGUAUCUAACCAGAAAGUCACGGCUAACUACGUGCCAGCAGCCGCGGUAAUACGUAGGUGACAAGCGUUGUCCGGAUUUAUUGGGCGUAAAGGGAGCGCAGGCGGUCUGUUUAGUCUAAUGUGAAAGCCCACGGCUUAACCGUGGAACGGCAUUGGAAACUGACAGACUUGAAUGUAGAAGAGGAAAAUGGAAUUCCAAGUGUAGCGGUGGAAUGCGUAGAUAUUUGGAGGAACACCAGUGGCGAAGGCGAUUUUCUGGUCUAACAUUGACGCUGAGG